rnacentral:rRNA from 1 species
AACGAACGCUGGCGGCAUGCCUAACACAUGCAAGUCGAACGAGACCUUCGGGUCUAGUGGCGCUCGGGUGCGUAACGCGUGGGAACCUGCACUUAGGUUCGGAAUAACUCCCUUACGGGGGUGCUAAUACCGGAUAAUGUCAUCGGACAAAAGAUUUAUCGCCUGUGGGUGGGCCCGCGUUGGUUUAGCUAGUUGGUAGGGUAAAAGCCUACCAAGGCGACGAUCCUUAGCUGGUCUGGGAGGAUGAUCAGCCACACUUGGGCUGAGACACGGGCCAGAAUCCUACGGGAGGGGGCAGAGGGGAAUAUAGGAGAAUGGGGGGUGGUCUGAUCCAGCAAGGCCGCGUAAGUGAUGAAGGCGGUAGGGUAGUAAAGCUGUUUUACACGAGACGAUAAUGACGGUACCGGGAGAAUAAGCACCGGCUAACUCCGUG